GACAUAGGGUGCGAGCGUUGUCCGGAUUUAUUGGGCGUAAAGAGCUCGUAGGCGGCUUGUCGCGUCGACCGUGAAAACUUGGGGCUCAACCCCAAGCCUGCGGUCGAUACGGGCAGGCUAGAGUUCGGUAGGGGAGACUGGAAUUCCUGGUGUAGCGGUGAAAUGCGCAGAUAUCAGGAGGAACACCGGUGGCGAAGGCGGGUCUCUGGGCCGAUACUGACGCUGAGGAGCGAAAGCGUGGGGAGCGAACAGG
rnacentral:rRNA from 1 species